rnacentral:lncRNA from 1 species
GUUCAUCUCUCUCUUCAGUAUCCAGCCUUGGGCACAGAUGAAGACUUCCCUAAUGCCCAGGUGGUGAAGAGACUUGAGUGGCAAUUUCGAUGCUUAGCCACCUUGUUGGCUUGUGUUUCAGCUUGGUUUUCCUUUCAGCAUCCAGCCGUGGGUCUCUUCUUUUGUUGAAGGUGGAGAUGGAGAUAGCUCGGUACCAUCUGCAGUUUCAGACACCCAUGGUGGUUUUUGGAAUGGAUCCCUUGUGCACAAGUGGAGACUGUUCUGUAGUCAGGCG